AGCUAGUUCUGCUUGCACAGAACCGGACCUAGAAAGAUAACCCUCCAUAUUCCAAAUGGGAAAAUUUUAUCAUAUACCCCAAUACUUAUCCCACACCCCUACAAUUUACACAUUUCACCAAAAUAUCUUUAUAUAAAUACUUCAAAUUUAAUUGGAUUCAACACAAAUUAAAUGGAUUUAAACGAGAAAGUGAUGAGAUAUGCAAGCCAGAGUGUCAUUGCAGUUUAUGCACCAUUUUAUCUGAGUUCAAACUUCAAACAAUAACCAUUUUGAAAAAACCUAAAACCCUACUUUGUGACCGAAAACCCUAGAUCUCUUUACUGGUCGAUCUCAUUUGUUAGUGGUUACUACAUGCUCUUACAAUUUAAUGAUUCUAUUGUACUUUUGCAGCCAAUUUUGUGCAAAGUCAUUGACAUUGACGACGAUGAUCACUCUCAUGAUUCAGUCAUAAUUGCUGAAAAAGUUUCUACUCAAACUAACAAGGGAAUAAAAAUUGAAGCUACUAAUCAAAUUGUGGAUGUGUCUGGCAUUGAUGAUGAUAAUUGGUGAAAAUGUCUGCAAAAGUAACAAGGGGAAGACAAUUGAAGCCAUUAAUCAAGUUGUGGUUUGUAUGAAAUUAAGAUGUUAUUUGUCACUUCUCGCAGUAGAUUGAUGUUAUCUUUUCUAACUAGUGAAUAUCUCUUAAGUUUCGCUCUGUAUCCGUCUCAGGGUGUGUUUGGCAACGAUGAUGAUUUAGUGAUAAUUGGUGAAAAUGUCCGUAAAAGUAGCAAUGGGAAGACAAUUGAAGCCAUUAAUCAAGUUGUAGUUCGUGUAAGAUUAAGAUGAUAUUUGUCGAAUCUCGCUGUAGAUUGAUGUUAUCUUUUCUAACUUGUGAAUAUCUCUAACAUUUCGCUCUAAAUCCUUUUCAUCCUGAUGUUGAUUAUGGCCUGGGUUUUAAAAUGAUUAUGUAGCUGAUUCCUUUCAGCCUUCCCUGCCAUUAGAGCCCUAUAACUCUAAAAUCUAAGGAGCUACACAGUUUAACAGUUUUAGUUUACAAAUCAAAUUGGAUAGUGUUAACCACUCUUCUGGAAUGGAGUCUUUUGAAUUAUCUUCUCAAGAUGCUCAUAGUAAGAAGAAAUCAGUUGCAUCACUGCAUAAUGGGCGUCCUCGUUUGAAUAUUUCAUUAGGCGCAGAAUCGUCUAAUUUUGAGAGGUUGUCGAAACAUUUUAGCAAUAAAAUGGAGUCUGCUGAUUUGCAAAGCAAUCCAAAGACUAGGAAGGUAGUAGCAAUUCAGACCAUGCAAAUAUCAAAGAUGAAAGUAUGAGGAAAUUCAAAUGUUUAAAGAAAAUUCAAUGCCAGAGACUCUCCUUUCUGUAGAAAGAAGCCAAAUUACGAAUAUUUACAGAAUUGGGUCAAAAGAAUCUUGAGAGAGUGGGAAAUUUUGGAGAAGAAUCUGCCAGCAUGUCAGGUUCCACAAUCAAAUUGGUUCUUCUAAGUUGAAUCCAAAUUUGAAUGAGCAUGGCACUGUAUGUCUUAGUCUACUUAACACUUGGAUUGGUCAUUGGUGACAAGAAUGAGCGUUGGCUUCCAGACUCUUCAACAAUUCUACAGGUUCUAGUUUCCUUACAAGGUCUAGUCCUGACUGCAAUCCCUUUGUUGAAUGGUCCUCAGACCGCUUUCGGGAAUCAUCCAAAUAAACAAAAUAUAUCCGAGUGUCGUAGAUAUAAUGAGCAAGUGUUCAUUGAUUCACUAUGGCUAAUGAUACAUAUAAGAAGAAGACCUCCAAAGGGUUUUAAGGACUUUGUAGUGGAACAUUUCCGCAACCGAGCUCAUAAUAUUAUGGGAGCAUGCAAAGCAUACAGGGAAGGUGCUCAAGCUGAUUCUUUGGUCAAAAGUGGUUUUCAUGAUGUUGAUGAGGGUAACAAAAGUGGUUUUCUAUAUGUGAACCAAUGGAAGAGCUUGUCAAAGAGUUUGAGUGAAUUGGUGCUAAGUACUGAAAAAUUCCAUUGCUGCAAAACAACAUUCUCUAUGAAUUCCCAAAUUUGAGACUUUACUCAAAAGUCUAUUACAUCUUACUAUAUGCAGUUUUUUAUUUAAACAUUUCAAAGACAGGUAUUGAGUAAUUGAACUAACUAUUGUCACAAUGGCUUGUGGGGAGCCUACACUUUCUUGCAAAUUAUUUGAAUUUCCCUUUCACA